rnacentral:lncRNA from 1 species
CAGAGAACCUCAGACAAUUUGCUUUUGGAAAAGCGCUAAUCAACCACAUAUUCAUCUGGAAUGAAAAUGCCUCUCUAGCAAGACAUUGUGUGAUAAUGAAGUACAGGAGCUGUUGUUCAUCAUUUCCUUCCCUAAUUUGUUCCAAGAUUAGCUGACUUGUCACAGUCAUUUCCUCGUGGUCCACCACCCUGCCAUGACGGUUGAAGAGCAUAAAGGAGAAAACUUGGACAGAAGAAAACUUGAAAGUGUCCUUCAAAGAGCAGCUCAGUGGACGUGCCCUUCUCAAAACACUGGAUCUUUUCUUUUGAGAUGACCGGGGGGAGGGGUACAAAGUUGAAAAAGGGACCCCCCACAGAUACAUUUGCUACCACCUGUUGUGAAAUGUUGAACCUGCAAAAGAGGCACAGAUAGUGUCCUACUUUCUUAACUAGUAACAGCUGUUUCUGAAAAUAACAGAAACAGAAGCCAAUCCUUUAUGCAAGCUCACUUGUUGCAUGUAUUUCAGAAAUCUAAUACAAAUUUACAACAUCUCUAAUAACCGAGUUUUACACUUUAAAAAGAUCUUGAAAAUACAUACAGAAAAGAAGUCCUCCUUACAAGCAUUGUUUGGAGGGAAAAAUACAGUACAAAGUAAAGAGGGAGACACUUAUAGAUAGGUAACCAAGAUUAUGUAGCCCACUUCUUGCCAGCCCUCUUUUCACAGUUUUCUUAGUUCUAAUGUAAACAAUAUCCCAUAAUUAUUCAAUUCAACCUCCUUAGAAGCUUCUGUUGGUGAGUCCUGAACUCCAAAGGAAGCUUCACAGCACCCAAAGAUCCUAACCUUUCUGUGCCAAAACGCACUAUGUAUGUUUUUUCUGACCCUCCUAAACUAUACCCUGUCCCAUCUCAACAAUUGGCUACCCUAGCCAACACUUCUUAUCCUUGCCUAUCACUCUGCUGGUUUAGGUACUUAGCUUAACUUCUAAUAUCGGAUCCAUCAUUGUUUUGUCAAACAAGGUAACUUUUCAACACAUCUUUGAGACACUCCUUUGCACCCUCUCUCAUUCUCAGGAUAGCAUCAUUGACUGGACUUGCUUCAUUACUAUGGCUUUGCAGAAUGGAUCAACCUCAGGUAGCCCUAUUACAAAAGGAACUGACUCAGCUCAAGAGAAAAGCUUCAACUCCCUAUGAUUUCAUCUUUGACCCGACCAACCAGAGCUCCUGACUCACCCACCCACUACCCACCAAAUUAUCCUUAAGAACUCUGAUCCCUGAAUGCUCGGGAAAUUCAUUUGAGUAAAAAUAAAACUCCAGUCUCCUGUACAGCCAGCUCUGUGUAAAUUACUCUUUCUCUGUUGUAAUUCCCGUCUUGAUAAAUUGGCUCAGUCUAGUCAGUGAGCAAGGUGACAAGUCCAAGAGAAAAAAAUAUUUUUUGAAAUACACAUAUGUGAGUGCAUGUACACAUUCCUUGUUCUCAAAACUUACUGUAACAGAACUCAAUGUUAACGUCAUUCCUCGCUAAGUUACAAAGUUAAGAAUAACACAGUGGUGUGAAUUUUUUAAUCAAAGAAGUACAAGGUAUUUUUAGAUUGUUUCUAAUGACAGAGUUUUACUGAUGUUCUUGUUUCCAUGCAUCUCCACAUAUCUCCACAACUGGAAAUUCCACUAGCAGUAUUCUUUCAUGUAUUCCUUUCUUCAUUCAUUCACUAACUACUUUUUGGAAGGGUACCAUGUGCGAGACACUGUUCUUGAUACAGAGAUGAACAAAAAAGAAAAAAUCUUUGCCAUAAUGGACCUUGCAUUCAAGUGUGGGGAGACAAGAACAUGUAAACCAAUAAUACUUUCAAAUAGUCUGAUAUGAAGAAUAUGCAACGCAGUAAAGAGAUACAAAGAGAGAGGGAGCUAUGUUAGAGAGGCUGGCCAAGUAAGGAUUUGCUAAAUUUUCACAUUUGAAAGGAAACCUAAAUGAUGUUUAUUAUCACGGGGAUCUUGAGGAUAAGUACUGAUGGCACAGGAAGCAGAAGGUACAAAUCCCUGAGGCGGCAAUUCAAGGAAUAGAAAGGCCAGGUGGCUGGAACACAGUAAACUAUAACAGAUUGUCUCCAUUAAAUGCAAAGAAAUUUAACUGAAAACAUAGUAAACCCUUCAUAUAUUUCCUAAGAAAUGCUGCACCUGACAGGGAGAAAAUAGAAGUUUUAGAUGUGAAUGAUGGGUAUUCUGAUAGACUCAAUAGUUAAGAGACACUCUCUCUCACAUCAGUCUGGCAGAAAAUAUGAUUCAAAUGAGUACAGUAGGGAAUUUAUAAAUUAUUACAUGUCAUGACCUUUGGAGUCUGAGGUAGAUUAAAACCACAAGAAUUGAC